rnacentral:rRNA from 1 species
UACGUAGGGUGCGAGCGUUGUCCGGAAUUAUUGGGCGUAAAGAGCUCGUGAGCGGUCUGUCGCGUCGGUCGUGAAAACUUGGGGCUUAACCCUGAGCUUGCGGUCGAUACGGGCAUGACUGGAGUUCGGUAGGGGAGACUGGAAUUCCUGGUGUAGCGGUGAAAUGCGCAGAUAUCAGGAGGAACACCGGUGGCGAAGGCGGGUCUCUGGGCCGUAACUGACGCUGAGGAGCGAAAGUGUGGGGAGCGAACAGG